CAUGUACAAACAGAGGUAGUCAACGCAAAUUUGAUCCAGGAAUCACAUAUGAUGUGAACACAGCAGGAAGUGUUUGAUUCACGUCAAAUAGUCCAGACUGGUUGAGAGCUGCUUCAGCUGCAAAUCCAGAGAGGUCAGAGUGAAACACAAACACCUGACACAGACAAACAAAGAAGGGAGAAAGCAUGGUUAUUUUAAGAACCUGUUGUUUUCGUACCUCACUGUUAAUAUGAGAGACAAGCUUCCUGAAUCAACAAGUCAGCCAGCAGAUGGCCAGGAGCAACACCACGCAAGAUCCAUGAAAGAAGCAGGUGCAAGCGAUGGCGGGAAGCCGGUGAGCCACAGCUGCAGGAACAAAGGGCUGAUGUCACGACAACCACCUCAUCAGCUUCCUGUUCUCCACAUCCUGUGAUUCACACCUGGACGGCUUACCUUCAUCUGCCCUCCUCAUACACACAACAGUCCAAACACGUGAACUGUCUUCACUUUCACUGCAACAUUCUUUCACUCAUC
rnacentral:lncRNA from 1 species